ACUGUCCCAAGGGUGCCUAUGGAUCUGGCUGCACUUCAGAAUGUCAGUGUGUGGAGAAGAAUACCCUGGAAUGCAGUGCCAAAAAUGGUAGUUGCACCUGCAAAUCUGGUUACCAAGGCAACAGAUGCCAGAAAGAUGGCCUCUAGGGACCAGAGUGCUGGUUCUCCUCUGCACCCUGUGAAAAUGGAGGUCAGUGCAACAACAACAACAACAAAAAAAAAAAAACUGGAAAUUGUGACUGCACUCCUGGUUACACAGGAAAAUCCUGUACCAUAUUGAGAUGCAUUUCCCUUACCAAUCUGGCUCUCAGCAGGUGGUCCAGCCUGAUGAAGUACAAGCAAAAUGUCAGCUCCCACAGAGAAGUGCGACAGAGGCGACAGUGCAGCACUGACAGGCCUUUCAAAAAGCUAUUGUGCAAAUUCAGUUUUAAAAUAGGGAUGUGGUUGAGGACUGAUGGGUAUUUCAUUACCAAUGUGUUCAUCUCACCAUCGUCCAAGAGAAUGAGAGCGGGUCAUAGUACAGCUGAUACAAAGCCAUUAAGUUGAGUAAAGGUGGAUUUGGUCUUUAGAAGAUUUGUCUUCCUAUCUGUAUUUUCGAGAAGUUAGUAUUCAAAUUAGCUGUCAUUUUUAGAACAUACCUACUAAAGAGGGGCCAAGAAUUGUUCUUUUUUUCUACUUGAUUACCUUCCGGUGUCUCAAGUAGAUCAUUAAAAACAAAGUUAAUCUUGUCAUUACUUUAUAAACCUCACUGAGCUACUGAUACUGUUCAUAAUGAAGUCUAUAGCACUAAAGACCCAUCAUCAGCCUGUCUCUAGCCAGCUUUUGACCAUGCUCACGUAUACCCUACAUAUUUUAGUCAUUCCCCCAACAUCAUGUACAUUUAAACCAUGGUGCCAUUGUUCAUUGCUCUUUCCUGUAAUACAUGUUUUCUUCUUCCAUUUUUAUUGCCUCAAGCAUUUAUUCCUCAAGCGUUUUUAUUUUCAAGUAUAUGUAAACAAACAAAAUUCUACAGCAUUUCCUUCCAUAGCAGCACCAAUCGUAUUGUAUUAUAAUUAGUUGCCUGCUAUUAAGACUACUUAUCAUUAAUUUUUAUACACCCCUUUGCAAUAUACAAGGGGUACUCAAUAAAGAUUUGCUAGGUUCAAUUAAAGAACAUUUUUGACAACUUAA